GCUGAUCCUGCAGCCGCGAGUUAGUGUGGACGUCUCUGUACACACACAGACACACACCCCAACACACACACCCCCGCUGCAGCUUUGGGGCCACAGAACAAUCAGGCGCGCAUGGCUUUUUCUCCGGGAGAUGCCGCUGAAAACGCACAAGUCGCCAUCUGAGCUGCAAGAGUCAGCCCCAAAUUGUGUCCUUUCAUUUUAGGGUUCGGCAAAAACGGGGAGCAAAAUAGGUGAAAGUCGCCCCGGAACUUAUUGCUGUGCGGGCGAAGGGCGAAGAGCAGCGAGUGCACCGCGGGCGCGAGGCUGGGGAAGGGCGAGAGCUCGGAGCUCCGCGGCGGCGACUCAGCUCCGGCGGUCCAUGGCCGGCGAAGCUGCCCACCUCCUCGUUUGGCGCCCGGGUCCGAGGGGCGGGAGAGCGGGCCGGCGGGAGGCGGGCGGUCCCGGGCACAACGGCGGCGGCGGAAGGGCUCGCUGGGCAGCUGCCGCACGGACCCCGGCUCUGGGCGGCGGAGGCGGCUCCGUGGAGCUCGCAGCAGAUUUCCACGCGAUCCUGUGCCCCGCAAACAGACUGACCGACCGCG
rnacentral:lncRNA from 1 species